AAUCAUUGCAAGUGGUGAUCUUAUACCGGUGGAACAGUGAACCCGUUGACUUUUUGGUCCAAUUAACAAUUUUGUCGCCAAAAUAAAGGUAUGGUGAUCCUGUAAUUGUCACAUCCGUAUGCUAAGUUAAUCUUGCCUCUAAAUAUACCGGAUAGUAUAUGUCAUUUACGGCCGUAAAAACCCCGAUAAGUGCCUAUAUUAAGGAACUGACUAACGGGAUCAGUGUGUGGUGGUAGGAGUCCCUUUUAUUACACGUGACAAUAUAAGGCUAAUAUCAAGACCUUAUUUUAACCUUUUCAUUGGCAUUGUAUAUGGCUGAGUUGAACUGAAAAUCGCGAGAAUUUCAAUUGACAGACACUUUAAAAUUCGGAUUGGUGCCUGAUGUUAGCUAUAGCCCAAGAAAUACGCCGAUGGAGGAAGAGGUUUAAAGUGAGAAUAGUAGCUAGUAGUAGGAACUGUUGCUGCUGCGUCUCGAUUGAGGUCCCCGAAAGGGGGCGGCGCCCGUGGAGUAUAACCGUUUGGGUGGGUGACCGCAGUGUAGUCGUGUUCAUCAGAUAAAAUCCUACCAGAGUAUCUUGAGUUAUAAUAGCCUAUGAAUAUACCUAGCUACUAUUUAACAAUGGCUAGUCUGGUGGUGCUUGCUUGGCCUUUCGGCCUCUAGACGCCAUGACGCUCGAUCGUUGUCCCUUGGUGGGAGUCGCCGGUGGGGAAGACCUCGAGUAUCUUUGUCAUUGUUCAUAGGAACAGGAAGAAGACGUCGUGUUGAAGGGCAAUACAAAGAGCAGCAGCAACCUGGACCAAGUGUGAUGCACCAAGAUUCCUCAUCCCCGUCCAAGAUAGAUGACUCGGAUUUUAAGGUAGGUGGCAUGUGCAUUUGGAAACCUGGCGGUGGUUCAUAUUAGAGGAUUCUAGAUCCUCGUUACAGGAAGGACAACUUUUAGAAUAAAAGGAAGUGGUCAACUAGGGAUUAACCUGAGGAGAUGACGAGGUAUGUAGUUCAUUUUAUGCUUGUCCCACAACCUCCCAUAGUGUGCCUGAUUGUACUUUUCCUCUGCUUACUUCCUCGUCACUGUCUUUGGUUUGUAUCCAAUUUUUAUUCAUUUUAUAUUCCCUCUCAUGGCUUGGUAUUAAUUUUUAUUUAUUUUAUAUUCCCUCUCAGCCUUUUGGUUGUGUAAACGUAUUAUCCGCCGAGUCUAAAACAACAUAAUUGUGUUUGUCUCUUUAUCUAUUAUGGUAGCUUUCUCCAUAAAAAGUACAUCUAAUGUUGGGAGCUCUCCUCUCUUGUAAAAGGACAAAAUCUCCUUCCGAAUACACUCAUUUUCAAAACUAUCCACCUUGUCCUUCACUCGGAUCCUCUUCCUGGGAUAUACAGGUCAAGAGAAGGGAGAGUUGCCAUAAUCAGGUGACUGUCGCUUGAUUUUUUUCACUGUGUUGGUUGGCACUCCUGUAGCUUUGGCGGUCUUCUCAAAUACUUCAUUUCUUGAGUCUGCUCCCCGCUGUGAGCUAAAGUAACAAUGAACAUUCAUGAUAAUGUUGCGAGCCUGACUUGCAAAUCUGGAAACGGUACAAUGAAUGGUGCUGUCAAACGGUGCGACGAAUGGUGCUGUCAUCUCGAGAUGUCUGCUUGAAAAGAAAAAAAAUGUUGCUUAGUUUGUUGCUGUUUAUUGCUCCGCUGAGAUUAUAUUUCAUAUGACUGAAUUAAGUCUCUGAUAUCUCUUUCGUUUGAAAAUAUAUUCAUAUAAGAAAAUUAGAAACAAUAUAUUGAAACCAACCUCAUUAAAACAUAAAGGGAGCUGAAGAGUGCGAAGUAAGUCCGUAGAUUUCAAAUUCUUUUCUGGACUGAAUUUCCUGCCCACGGCCAGCCUACA